rnacentral:tRNA from 1 species
CGGAGCGUAGCUCAGCCCGGUAGAGCGCUGCGUUUGGGACGCAGUGGUCGCAAGUUCGAAUCCUGCCGCUCCGA